GACCCCGUAGCUCAGCAGGGAGAGCGCCACCUUGACAGGGUGGAGGUCAUGAGCCCGAGCCACCGGAGUCA
rnacentral:tRNA from 1 species